rnacentral:rRNA from 1 species
AUUGAACGCUGGCGGCAGGCCUAACACAUGCAAGUCGAGCGGAUGAAGGGAGCUUGCUCCUGGAUUCAGCGGCGGACGGGUGAGUAAUGCCUAGGAAUCUGCCUGGUAGUGGGGGAUAACGUCCGGAAACGGGCGCUAAUACCGCAUACGUCCUGAGGGAGAAAGUGGGGGAUCUUCGGACCUCACGCUAUCAGAUGAGCCUAGGUCGGAUUAGCUAGUUGGUGGGGUAAAGGCCUACCAAGGCGACGAUCCGUAACUGGUCUGAGAGGAUGAUCAGUCACACUGGAACUGGAACACGGUCCAGACUCCUACGGGAGGCAGCAGUGGGGAAUAUUGGACAAUGGGCGAAAGCCUGAUCCAGCCAUGCCGCGUGUGUGAAGAAGGUCUUCGGAUUGUAAAGCACUUUAAGUUGGGAGGAAGGGCAGUAAGUUAAUACCUUGCUGUUUUGACGUUACCAACAGAAUAAGCACCGGCUAACUUCGUG